rnacentral:rRNA from 1 species
GAUGAACGCUGGCGGCGUGCCUAAUACAUGCAAGUCGAGCGAACAGAUGAGGAGCUUGCUCCUCUGACGUUAGCGGCGGACGGGUGAGUAACACGUGGAUAACCUACCUAUAAGACUGGGAUAACUUCGGGAAACCGGAGCUAAUACCGGAUAAUAUAUUGAACCGCAUGGUUCAAUAGUGAAAGACGGUUUUGCUGUCACUUAUAGAUGGAUCCGCGCCGCAUUAGCUAGUUGGUAAGGUAACGGCUUACCAAGGCAACGAUGCGUAGCCGACCUGAGAGGGUGAUGUGCCACACUGGAACUGAGACACGGUCCAGACUCCUACGGGAGGCAGCAGUAGGGAAUCUUCCGCAAUGGGCGAAAGCCUGACGGAGCAACGCCGCGUGAGUGAUGAAGGUCUUCGGAUCGUAAAACUCUGUUAUUAGGGAAGAACAAAUGUGUAAGUAACUAUGCACGUCUUGACGGUACCUAAUCAGAAAGCCACGGCUAACUACGUG